rnacentral:rRNA from 1 species
UACAGAGGUGGCAAGCGUUGUUCGGAAUUACUGGGCGUAAAGGGCGCGUAGGCGGCCUUCUAAGUCAGACGUGAAAUCCCCAGGCUUAACUUGGGAACUGCGUCUGAUACUGGGAGGCUUGAGUGCGGGAGAGGGAUGUGGAAUUCCAGGUGUAGCGGUGAAAUGCGUAGAUAUCAGGAGGAACACCGAUGGCGAAGGCAGGUCUCUGGGCCACUACUGACGCUGAGAAGCGAAAGCGUGGGGAGCGAACAGG